CCUGCAAGUAUCAUACACAUUUGAUUCAAUAACUAGAUAAUAAUCCGACCUUCAUAACUAUCAAAAUCUAUUGUUCAAGCUCUAAGUCUGUACAUGCGAGAUUUGCAUGAAAAAAACCAGCAUCGUUCAUACAAGUAACUGAGAGAUUUAAGAGAAGAAACUUACGAGCCAUCGAGCCAUUCAGGGUCAAGGAGGUUGCCGCCACCUUUAACGGCAGGGAUCCAAGAUUUCUUAGGCUGAGCAGCCGCAGCAGCGACAAUAAGAGUUUUCUUGCCAACUCUCUGAGCACCAGUGCCUAGGCCGCUUCCCAAUGCGG
rnacentral:lncRNA from 1 species